rnacentral:lncRNA from 1 species
GUCAGAUCUUUCUUGCCUUUUAAUGAUAGUUCAGAUCCACCUGAAAACAUUUUUUUGCUACAAGUCUGAGCACAGAGUAAAAAUUAUAUCCAGUUCUGAAAUUUUAAUCUGAUUUCAAUAUUAUCAUAAUCAAGUAAUAGAAGGAGGAAUGCAUGAAAUAAUAUAUAUUUAUUUAUUUCAAGGAAAUGCUACACUGAUAUAAUGAUUAAUUAUCACUGACAAAGAAUGAUCAUGCUGCAGACUGCAUGUGAUAAAGUGAAAUCCAAAGUGGAAAAUCCUGGAGCAGUUCAACGUCUCAUCUGCCUCUCCAGACAUAGUCUUUCAAACUUCUGGAAUUCAUCUGCCUCGCUGGAAGACUGA